GGGGUUGUGGCUCAGUGGUAGAGCACCCGUCUAGCACCGGAGAGGCCCUGGGUUCGAUCCUCAGCACCA
rnacentral:tRNA from 1 species